AGUGGCGGACGGGUGAGUAACGCGUGGGUAACCUGCCUCAUACAGGGGGAUAACAGUUGGAAACGACUGCUAAUACCGCAUAAGCGCACAGGGUCGCAUGACCUGGUGUGAAAAACUCCGGUGGUAUGAGAUGGACCCGCGUCUGAUUAGCCAGUUGGUGGGGUAACGGCCUACCAAAGCGACGAUCAGUAGCCGACCUGAGAGGGUGACCGGCCACAUUGGGACUGAGACACGGCCCAAACUCCUACGGGAGGCAGCAUG
rnacentral:rRNA from 1 species